rnacentral:rRNA from 1 species
CCUACGGGGGGCUGCAGUGGGGAAUAUUGGACAAUGGGCGAAAGCCUGAUCCAGCCAUGCCGCGUGUGUGAAGAAGGCCUUCGGGUUGUAAAGCACUUUCAGUGGGGAAGAAAGCCUUGGGGCUAAUACCCUCGAGGAAGGACAUCACCCACAGAAGAAGCACCGGCUAACUCCGUGCCAGCAGCCGCGGUAACACGGAGGGUGCGAGCGUUAAUCGGAAUUACUGGGCGUAAAGCGCGCGUAGGCGGUCUGAUAAGCCGGUUGUGAAAGCCCCGGGCUCAACCUGGGAACGGCAUCCGGAACUGUCAGGCUAGAGUGCAGGAGAGGAAGGUAGAAUUCCCGGUGUAGCGGUGAAAUGCGUAGAGAUCGGGAGGAAUACCAGUGGCGAAGGCGGCCUUCUGGACUGACACUGACGCUGAGGUGCGAAAGCGUGGGUAGCAAACAGGAUUAGAUACCCGGUAGUC